GACGAACGCUGGCGGCGUGCUUAACACAUGCGAGUCGUACGGUAAGGCCCUUUCGGGGGUACACGAGUGGCGCACGGGUGAGUAACACGUGAGUAACCUGCCCACAACUUUGGGAUAACGCUAGGAAACUGGUGCUAAUACUGGAUAUGUGCUCCUGCUGCAUGGUGGGGGUUGGAAAGCUCCGGCGGUUGUGGAUGGACUCGCGGCCUAUCAGCUUGUUGGUGGGGUAGUGGCCUACAAAGGCGGCGACGGGUAGCCGGCCUGAGAGGGUGACCGGCCAAAAUGGGACUGAGAUACGGCCCAGACUCCUACGGGAGGCAGCAGUGGGGAAUAUUGCACAAUGGGCGCAAGCCUGAUGCAGCAACGCCGCGUGCGGGAUGACGGCCUUCGGGUUGUAAACCGCUUUCAGCAGGGACGAAGCUUUUUGUGACGGUACCUGCAGAAGAAGCACCGGCUAACUACGUG
rnacentral:rRNA from 1 species